CAGUUAGGAAUCUUGGGCAAUGGGCGAAAGCCUGACCCAGCCAUGCCGCGUGUGUGAAGAAGGCCUUCGGGUUGUAAAGCACUUUCAGUGGUGAAGAAAAGCUUGGGGCCAAUACCCCCGAGUUUUGACGUUAUCCACAGAAGAAGCACCGGCUAACUCCGUGCCAGCAGCCGCGGUAAUACGGAGGGUGCAAACGUUAAUCGGAAUUACUGGGCGUAAAGCGCACGUAGGCGGUCCGUUAAGUGGGAUGUGAAAGCCCUGGGCUCAACCUGGGAAUUGCAUUCCAAACUGACGGGCUAGAGUGUGGUAGAGGGGGGUAGAAUUCCAGGUGUAGCGGUGAAAUGCGUAGAGAUCUGGAGGAAUACCGAUGGCGAAGGCAGCCAUCUGGCCUAAUACUGACGCUGAGGUACGAAAGCAUGGGGAGCAAACA
rnacentral:rRNA from 1 species